rnacentral:rRNA from 1 species
CCUACGGGAGGCAGCAGUGAGGAAUAUUGGUCAAUGGGCGGAAGCCUGAACCAGCCAAGUAGCGUGAAGGAUGACGGCCCUACUGGUUGUAAAAUGCUUUUAUACGGGAAUAACGCGCCUUACGUGUAGGGCUUUGCAUGUACCGUAUGAAUAAGGAACGGCUAAUUCCGUGCCAGCCGCCGCGGUAAUACGGAAGGUCCGGGCGUUAUCCGGAUUUAUUGGGUUUAAAGGGAGCGUAGGCCGCAUGUCAAGCGUGCUGUGAAAUGUCCGGGCUCAACCCGGGCCUUGCAGCGCGAACUGGCGUGCUGGAGUCCGCGGAAAGCAGGCGGAAUUCGUCGUGUAGCGGUGAAAUACUUAGAUAUGACGAAGAACCCCGAUUGCGAAGGCAGCUUGCUGCAGCGGAACUGACGCUGAUGCUCGAAAGCGCGGGUAUCGAACAGGAUUAGAUACCCCUGUAGUC